rnacentral:rRNA from 1 species
GAUGAACGCUGGCGGCGUGCCUAACACAUGCAAGUCGAGCGGCAGCGAGGGGUGCUUGCACCCUGUCGGCGAGCGGCGGACGGCUGAGUAACGCGUGGGAAUGUACCCCAAAGUGAGGAAUAACUGCCCGAAAGGGUAGCUAAUACCGCAUAUUAUCUUCGGAUCAAAGGAUUUAUCCGCUUUGGGAGCGGCUCGCGUCGGAUUAGGUAGUUGGUGAGGUAAUGGCUCACCAAGCCGACGAUCCGUAGCUGGUCUGAGAGGAUGACCAGCCAGACUGGAACUGAGACACGGUCCAGACUCCUACGGGAGGCAGCAGUGAGGAAUCUUCCACAAUGGGCGAAAGCCUGAUGGAGCAACGCCGCGUGCAGGACGAAGGCCUUCGGGUUGUAAACUGCUUUUAUAAGUGAGGAAUAUGACGGUAACUUAUGAAUAAGGAUCGGCUAACUACGUG